AGAAGAAGAAGAAGAAGAAGAAACCGGGCUAAUCGGUGCUUCCUCCUCAGGCUCCACUUCACUCAGCUGCCCCACAGGUCCGCUGCCUCUCCCGCUUUAACCUCAAUAACAAUCCGGAGCUAGCUGGGCGUGACCGGAGGGAAGCACAGCCAGUUAGCCUCCGCUAGCUUCCCAACUAGCCCCGGCUCUCUGUUUGGAUCCAACCGGAGCACCGAGCCCUGGUUUGUUAUUCAGGUUAAUGUGGGAAGAAGCAGCGGGUUUAUCGGGCAGCUGAGUGAAGCUGGGUGAAGUGGAGGCUGCGGAGGAAACACCGGGAUGGGUUAAUAUCUGGAGCUUGAGUUAUUAGCGGCUCGGUCCCAGCAGUGGGUCAGGCGUUACGGUUGUGUUAAGUGAGUAAGUUAGUCCGGCAGCCCAGCUAACAUUUUCAAUUAGCAUUGUAAAAUGUAGCCUCCUCGCGAGGCUACAUUUUUGUAAUAUAUUUGCUGAGAUGGAGGCGAGGCUCAGUGACUAGAGGAGCUGGUAGAAGCGCUCCAUAGCUGUAAGUUACUCUAGUAGCCGGUGGCAGCCGACUCGGCUAGUGCUAACACCGGGAGCUAACGCUAACGUUCUUCCUCUUCUCCGUGAGUGAGAGCGAUGUUUUAACCUAGCGGGCAGCUGGCUCGCGGGCUGCCCACUAGGCUAAAACAUCGCUUCAGGUUAAAGUGGGAAGAAGCAGCGGGUUUAUCGGGCAGCUGAGUAAAGCUGGGUGAAGUGGAGGCUGCAGAGGAAACACCGGGAUGGGUUAAUGUCAGGAGCUUGAGCAGCCCGACAGGCUGAACAUCGCUAACUGCUAGAUGAGGGGUGGGGGUGGGGGUGGUGGAGAGCAGAGCAGAGGUAGAGGGAGUAUGGCAAGCCGUUUUAACAUUUAAUCGCUAAGUCUGACUAUCCGGAAUUACCAUUAUAGAUAUCUAUAACGUCAUUUUGACUAGUAGUAAUGUCAUUGUGACUAGUAUAAAUUUUAAUUUAAGAUAUCUGUAACGUCAUUGUGACUAGUAUAAAUUUUAAUUUAAGAUAUCUGUAACGUCAUUUUGACUAGUCAAAACUGAAUUACAGAUAUCUGUAAUUCAGUUUUGACUAGGCAAAAUCUAAUUACAGAUAUCAGCAAUGAUGUCACUCAAAACGAUAGUCAACUCGUCACACAUCGUAAAUGACAAUUGUAGAUAUCUGUAAUGCAGUUUUGACUAGUCAAAAUAAUAGUUGGAGAUAUCUCAAACGUCAACACUUGACGUUCCUCAUGCGAGGCUUGCCAUUGGCUUCCCAUUUUUAAACCAGAUUUUAAGACUUAGAGGCAAUGGCUGUUGCAGUUGUGGACAAGAUAGUUAGAAAAUGCCAUGAAAUUGAAAGAGCUUAUCAUCAAGGGAUUUGUGGCGAACGAGAGCUUCGUUCACUCGACAGUUGUAAUAUAAAUUUACAGCGUAUUGCAAUUGUUUUGUCUCCACACACGCUUGAGGAGCUACGACGAAGUCUGGAUGGUGUCAGAACACGGAUAACGCGUGCUGGAGUAGCAGCAGAAUAUGUCGGGUUUUCGGCCCAUCGCAUUAAUUCAGGACGGCGAGGGCGACCAGCCAUUCAUGUCACCAGGGACCAAAUUGACUUCCUCAUGAAGCAAGGCAACACAGUGAAACGAAUUGCCAAAAUUUUGGGAUGCUCCUCAUCAUUUCUUUACAAGAGGACAAAAUUGCUUGGGAUACCAGUGAGGAGAAGAUUUUCUGUGAUAGAUGAUGAAGAACUUGAACGUCACGUAAGAUCGACUUCAGGGCCUGUAUCCAAACUCUGGAUAUGAGAUUACUACAAUUUCAGAUGAUGAGAGGCUUGCUACGUGCAGAUGGAUUGCUGCUUCCACGACGAAGGGUGCGUGAGAUGUUGGCCCACAUAAACCCAGCAGCUGCUACUCGGAGGUGGAGCAGCACUGUGGCAAGACGGGUGUAUCAUGCACCUUACCCCAAUAGCCUGUGGCAUAUAGAUAGGAACAUAUGCCUCAUAAGAUGGGGCUUUGCAGUUCAUGGACACUCUCGGCUGAUCACUUAUCUGAACUGCAACACAAACAACCGUGCCACCACUGUACUGUCUCAGUUUCUUAAAGCCACAUGCCAUUAUGGACUACCCUCUAGAGUAUGAUCGGAUUAUGGUGGUGAGAACCUGCAGGUGGCUUUAUUCAUGAACCUUGUGCGGGGCAUCGAGCGCCGGAGUUUCAUCACUGGAGAAUCAAUCCACAACCAGAGAAUUGAGCGUCUUUGGAGGGAUGUGUUUUUGCAUGUGUUGCAGUCUUUUUACAGUACAUUCUACUCUCUUGAAGACUCACAUCUUCUGGAUCCCAGUAAUGACAUUCACAAGCUUUCACUCAGCAUGGUUUUUCUUCCUGAGAUUCAAAAAAGUCUGGAGCGCUUUAGGGAGGCCUGGAACAACCAUGCUUUGCGCACGGAAAACAACCGAACACCAUCUCAAAUAUGGACGGAAGGCAUGCUCUCAAAUAUGGCAAGAGACAGUGCAGCGACCAACAGUGUGUUCGGGGAAAAUCCCUACAGCCCACACCAUUUGGAGGCAGUUCUGGCACAGCAUGGAAUUGACUCUUUACCUGCUACUGAUGAUGAUCUUCCAGCUGUAAUUGUAGAGCAGUCUCGAAUCAAUCUCAGUCAGCAGCAACAGGAGUCAAUCUCUCAUGCCAUUGAUCACAUUUCUGAUUUGAAGAUGAAGUACCUGACAUGCUGUGCAGAAAUUUCAAAUGUUAUGGCAACCUAAGACUUUUAACUCAUUUUUCAAAUGGGGAUGCCAUAUAACAUGUCUGAUGUCCUCUGUGACAGUAAACUGAAUAUCUUUGGUUUGUGGACAAAACAAGACAUUUGAGGACACCAUCUUGAGCUUUGAGAAACAUCAUUUUUCAACAUUGUAUAGAACAAAUGCAAUGGUCUAGGUCACAUAUGUCAAACUCAAGGCCCACAGGCCGAAUACUGGUCGCCACGUCAUUUUAUGUGGCCCCCAGAGCUUAUGUAAGCUGUAUAUGAUUGUCUUAAAAUAAAAGUCUAUGCUGCUUUAAAGCAUACAUUGACCAUAAAGUUGUUAUUUUGAGUUAAUUACAUACAAUAUACUACUUUUUAUGUGUAGCAGUGUAUUCAGUUUGUUUACAGGUGUAUGUGUUCCAUGCAGCCAAAUGUUUCAAACCAUCUCUCAUUAGUUGGAUGCAGGGUUCAAAAUUAACACCCCCCAAGCGCCAAAAGUGGGUCAGUUUUCUGUUUGGCGAAUAAAUCAAUUUAAAAACUC